rnacentral:rRNA from 1 species
AGUGAACGCUGGCGGUAGGCCUACCACAUGCAAGUCGAACGGCAGCACAGUAAGAGCUUGCUCUUACGGGUGGCGAGUGGCGGACGAGUGAGGAAUACAUCGGAAUCUACUUUUUCGUGGGGGAUAACGUAGGGAAACUUACGCUAAUACCGCAUACGACCUACGGGUGAAAGCAGGGGAUCUUCGGACCUUGCGCGAUUGAAUGAGCCGAUGUCGGAUUAGCUAGUUGGCGGGGUAAAGGCCCACCAAGGCGACGAUCCGUAGCUGGUCUGAGAGGAUGAUCAGCCACACUGGAACUGAGACACGGUCCAGACUCCUACGGGAGGCAGCAGUGGGGAAUAUUGGACAAUGGGCGCAAGCCUGAUCCAGCCAUACCGCGUGGGUGAAGAAGGCCUUCGGGUUGUAAAGCCCUUUUGUUGGGAAAGAAAAGCAGCAGGUUAAUACCCCGCUGUUCUGACGGUACCCAAAGAAUAAGCACCGGCUAACUUCGUG